CCUACGGGUGGCAGCAGUGGGGAAUAUUGGACAAUGGGCGAAAGCCUGAUCCAGCCAUGCCGCGUGUGUGAAGAAGGCCUUCGGGUUGUAAAGCACUUUCAGUGGGGAAGAAAGCCUUGGGGCUAAUACCCUCGAGGAAGGACAUCACCCACAGAAGAAGCACCGGCUAACUCCGUGCCAGCAGCCGCGGUAAUACGGAGGGUGCGAGCGUUAAUCGGAAUUACUGGGCGUAAAGCGCGCGUAGGCGGUCUGAUAAGCCGGUUGUGAAAGCCCCGGGCUCAACCUGGGAACGGCAUCCGGAACUGUCAGGCUAGAGUGCAGGAGAGGAAGGUAGAAUUCCCGGUGUAGCGGUGACAUGCGUAGAGAUCGGGAGGAAUACCAGUGGCGAAGGCGGCCUUCUGGACUGACACUGACGCUGAGGUGCGAAAGCGUGGGUAGCAAACAGGAUUAGAUACCCUAGUAGUC
rnacentral:rRNA from 1 species